CAGCCGCCGCGGUAAUACGGAGGGGGCUAGCGUUGUUCGGAAUUACUGAGCGUAAAGCGCACGUAGGCGGCUUGGUAAGUUAGAGGUGAAAGCCUGGAGCUCAACUCCAGAAUUGCCUUUAAGACUGCCGAGCUAGCAGGUGAGAGAGGUAAGUGGAAUUCCGAGUGUAGAGGUGAAAUUCGUAGAUAUUCGGAAGAACACCAGUGGCGAAGGCGGCUUACUGGCUCAUACUGGACGCUGAGGUGCGAAAGCGUGGGGAGCAAACAGGAUUAGAUACCCCCGUAGUCCCUGUCUCUUAUAC
rnacentral:rRNA from 1 species